rnacentral:rRNA from 1 species
GACGUAGGGCGCGAGCGUUGUCCGGAUUUAUUGGGCGUAAAGAGCUCGUAGGCGGCUUGUCGCGUCGACCGUGAAACCUCACAGCUCAACUGUGAGCCUGCGGUCGAUACGGGCAGGCUAGAGUUCGGUAGGGGAGACUGGAAUUCCUGGUGUAGCGGUGAAAUGCGCAGAUAUCAGGAGGAACACCGGUGGCGAAGGCGGGUCUCUGGGCCGUAACUGACGCUGAGGAGCGAAAGCAUGGGUAGCGAACAGG